rnacentral:rRNA from 1 species
CCUACGGGAGGCAGCAGUGAGGAAUAUUGGUCAAUGGGCUUACGCCUGAACCAGCCAAGUCGCGUGAGGGAAGACUGCCCUAUGGGUUGUAAACCUCUUUUGUCAGGGAGCAACGCCGGCUACGUGUAGCCGGACUGAGAGUACCUGAAGAAAAAGCAUCGGCUAACUCCGUGCCAGCAGCCGCGGUAAUACGGAGGAUGCGAGCGUUAUCCGGAUUUAUUGGGUUUAAAGGGUGCGUAGGCGGAAUGCCAAGUCAGCGGGAAAAUCGCGGGGCUCAACCUCGCUCCGCCGUUGAAACUGGCGUUCUUGAGUGGGCGAGAAGUAUGCGGAAUGCGUGGUGUAGCGGUGAAAUGCAUAGAUAUCACGCAGAACUCCGAUUGCGAAGGCAGCAUACCGGCGCCCAACUGACGCUGAAGCACGAAAGCGUGGGUAUCGAACAGGAUUAGAUACCCGGGUAGUC